ensembl:lncRNA
CCCCAUUUAAGAGCUGACUGCCACUGGAGAAGGAUCUCUUUCUCAAGAUCCCUCUUUUGUGAAGCUUUUCAUUGCAAGCUUAAAUCUCCAGAUAUGGUGGUAACAGAACAAACACAGCCAUUGGGUGCAGGUUGUGAUAAAGACCAAAUUCUGCAGAGCUUUGUACACGUGGGUCUGGAUUCUGCAAAACUACUUUGGGAAGCUUUGAAGGCAAGUGCAAAAGAACAAUACUGCUGCUCCCUAGUGCUAUGAUCUGCAAGGAAUGAAGGCCAAGAGAAACAACUUUCAUGAGGUGGGAAAUGGUUUGAAAGGUUUCAGCAACAGUCUUGAGAAUGAUCUGCAGAAGUACAGAAAGACUUUCUUCUCACAGAGAAAUGAAGCAUGCUGAAUCUGUGGAUUCAUUGCAAACUUAGAAGACUGAUUGUGUUUAGUAAUAUCCUUCAGCUUUUCUUUACUUUGUGUGCUGAUUUUUUUUUUUUUUUUUUCCUUAGGAGUGCUGUUAAAUUUCUCUACUUGUUAUCCAAGCUGUGGACAUUAUUUUGUUAUCAUAAUAAAUAUCUUGUUCAAUUCUUUGUUUAACAUGGAGCUUUAAAUCUCUUAAUAUUUUGGAGCUGGAAUUAUCCCAUAACAAUACAAGCAGAUAC